GACGAACGCUGGCGGUGUGCUUAACACAUGCAAGUCGAACGGUAAGGCCCUUUCGUUGUUACACGAGUGGCUAACGGGUGAGUAACACAUGAGUAACCUACCCUCAUCUCUCGUAUAACAAACGUAAACGAUUGCUAAUUAUUGAUAUGUGCUUGCAACGCCUCUUUUGUGGUGGUAGGAUUUUUUUUGGUUGUGGGUGGGCUCGCGGCCCAUAAGCUUUUUGGUGAGGGAGUGGCUCACAAAGGCUUCUACGGGUAGCCGGCCUCAGAGGGGGACCGGCGACAUGGGGAGUGUGAUACGGCGCAAACUCCUAUGGGAGGGAGAAGUGGGGAAUAUUGCACAAUGGACGGAAGUCUGAUGCAGAAACGCCGCGCGUGGGAUGACGGGCUUCGCGUUGUAAACCGCUUUUAAGUGUGACGAAGCUUUUUUGUGACGGUAGCAGUAGAAGAAGCACCGGCUAACUACGUG
rnacentral:rRNA from 1 species